rnacentral:rRNA from 1 species
CCCAGAAACUUCCGCAAUGGGCGAAAGCCUGACGGAGCGACGCCGCGUGCUGGACGAAGUGCUUCGGUACGUAAACAGCUUUUAUGUGGGACGAAAUUAUUGACGGUACCACAUGAAUAAGGGGCUCCUAACUCUGUGCCAGCAGGAGCGGUAAUACAGAGGCCCCAAGCAUUAUCCGGAAUCACUGGGCGUAAAGGGUGUCGAGGCGGUCGUAUUAGUCUCUCGUAAAAUCUACGGGCUCAACCUGUAG